CUCUGAGCUACAUAGAAAAGGUCAAGGGAGUUGUGAGAUUAAUGUACAGUUUGAGAAUCAAUGUUUCACCAUGUACCCACAGGGGAUAUCCAACACACUGAGAGCCCUGAGAAUCAGCUGUCCACUCAAGAUGGUGUAAGAUUACAAAACACACAGGCAAGAGUUUCUGUGUGUACUACUUGGAAGUAGUUUGAUCUUUGCCAUAUUCUGCCGUUGCCAAGAUUUGCCUCGCCACAGAACAAUCCGGGACUCGGUUACCUGUUGUGAGCGGAGACAGCUUCCUGGAGGUCAUGGAGGUAGCGCUGAGGGGUUUGGUUAUCGUCUGCUUCCUCUGGGAGAGGGUGGUGGUCGAGGCUGCUUCGGGACAACCCACGACUGUGUAAAAAGACAGAUUGUGGACAUUGAUUUAAAAAAAAAAGGGAAAUUUAAAAAGUGAGUGUGUAAUCGUCUUCUUAUUAAAGUGGCAGAUUAUUUCCCCAAGUGGUUGAAUCCAGACACCAAUGAAAACAAUGUGAGAUGAAAUAAAAGUCAUGAUGAUGUUCUAUAUGCAUAUGGUCUUCGUAAUAAUAUUUAACAUAAUUCUUGUUGAUGAAUCUGUUUAAAAGGAACACACUGGUGAUUUAGCAUGUCUUAGCCCUUUAAAGACAAAUGGAGCUCUUCACUGUCGACCAUUUCCUAAAGCAUGACACCAAAAAAAAAAAAGGAAAUAUUGUUGCUUCAAAUAAUAGGAUAUCUGAGUAGUUCACCAGCUGAACUGAUGGAUCAUCAUGUACUGGACAUUACGUUUGUCUAAACGAGGAGACAGACCUCGAUGUGACAGAUGGACUUACUAACUGGAUCAAUAAAAAUAUAAUUUUACACAGUCA